rnacentral:tRNA from 1 species
GGUGGGGUUCCCGAGCGGCCAAAGGGAGCAGACUGUAAAUCUGCCGUCAUCGACUUCGAAGGUUCGAAUCCUUCCCCCCA